rnacentral:rRNA from 1 species
CCUACGGGAGGCAGCAGUGAGGAAUAUUGGUCAAUGGGCGGGAGCCUGAACCAGCCAAGUCGCGUGAGGGAUGACGGCCCUAUGGGUUGUAAACCUCUUUUGCCGGGGAGUAAAGUGCCGCACGUGUGCGGUUUGGUGAGUACCCGGUGAAAAAGCAUCGGCUAACUCCGUGCCAGCAGCCGCGGUAAUACGGAGGGUGCAAGCGUUGUCCGGAUUUAUUGGGCGUAAAGAGUGCGUAGGCGGCAUGUAAAGUCAGGUGUUAAAGGCGGAGGCUCAACCUUUGUAUUGCACUUGAUACGUGCAAGCUGGAAUGCAGUUGAGGUAAAGGGAAUUCCUGGUGUAGCGGUGAAAUGCUUAGAUAUCAGAAGGAACAUCGGUGGCGGAAGCACUUUACUGGGCCGUAAUUGACGCUGAGGAACGAAAGCCAGGGUAGCAAAUGGGAUUAGAUACCCCAGUAGUC